rnacentral:misc_RNA from 1 species
ACUUCCAAACUUCAAGCCGACUGUAGGCAC